rnacentral:piRNA from 1 species
UAAAUCAGCUGUGUAUCUCCUAAUGC